AUUGCCUAUAAAAUGAGAGUGAAGUCCCGGCAAGUGGGGUUUACAUGCAUUAUCCCAUGUAUAGUCCCGUAUCAGGGCACCUGUGACAGGUUGAAGGUGCACUUGCGUUUACGAUCGCUUGUCUUGUGUUGGUGAGUCUGUUGCUCUCAUCGUUGCUUCUCUGGGUACAAAUGGGGUUAUUUCGUCGACGUUCCAUGCUGGACUGGAUCCUGUUGCUGUGGCCGGUAGU